UUUUGAGUAGGAAGAUACUGACUGGGCACAUUCAUCUCAUGCAAUGGAUGAAAGUCUGAUGAACUUGCACCUACAGUGCUUAUGGCAUUAGAGCUCAGGUAUGGCAUGGCAAGAAAUGAAGUCUCUCUCCAACCAUCUUCAUUGCUUGCAAUCACAGGCUGACCAUCUUCAUUGCUUACAAUCACAGGCCGACCAUUGCUUAUGGCAUUAGAGCUCAGGUAUGGCAUGGCAACAAAUGAAGUCUCUCUCCGACCAUCUUCAUUGCUUCCAAUCACAGGCCGACCAUCUUCAUUGCUUGCAACCACAGGCUGAUGCAGACCCACUUCAUCGUUAUCUGGUCUGCUGCUCGAUUCCACCACUGUUUUACCCUUCAUCGCCUUUCGGGCUUCCGAUCUCACUCGG
rnacentral:lncRNA from 1 species